rnacentral:lncRNA from 1 species
UCUUAAUGGCCUAACCCUAUUCCAUAGCCGACAUCCAAAACCUACAUCAAAACAAUUCAACAAACAUCAGGAUAUAUAUGUUCCAUCAUCAUGUUAUAGCAACAAGAGCAGCUUAAAAAGGAAACUCAGUCUACCACUGGUUAUUCGAUCUUCAUAAGAAAACGAGGCUUCAACUCAAGUUGUACGGCCAGAAAGAGCUCGUUCCAUUUGAUACUUUCCCUUACAGAUUCCCAGUUCCACCUAAAAUGCCAAGACACAUGUAAAAUUACAUUUAGCCAUGUUCUAUUACAUAUUUUCAGAUAUUUUUUGAGACAGAAUGAGUACUAAAUAAUUGUAACUCCGGAGAUUUUACAUCUUUUCAGAAUCACCCACAUAAGCAUGCUAACCUUCCAUUGACCCAAUAAUUCCAUGGUGCACAAAAUAAGAAACAUCUACAGUUUCUUAGUCUUAAGGUCUGACAACUAAUAUCAGUUUGGUGACCAUAGUGUCACCAAACAUGCACAAAUGUUUAACAUGGAAAAAAUUAAUGUAGACAUCACUAUUGAAAAGUUUAAAAAAUGUGAUUAGCACUAACCAUUAUCACAUUCUUUGAAAAUUACACAAAUACCACAGAAAAUAACAUAUUGUCUGCAAUAAUAUAAGCACUCAAACAUGGAUUAUUUUGUUCUUCAUCCAAAAGAGAGGUUCUUUAUGGUAGGAUUUUAGAAUAGAAACAAGAGUAUGUGGCGGUCAUGCUUCCUAUUUUACAUAGCAUACACCAAAUAUUCAAAAUGGUAAAUUAGUUUUCAUGCAAUAGGAUAGUGUGAGUAAGAGUGGAAAUAGAAGGGCACCACUUUUGUCAGUUUAAUGCCAUAUAUAUGUGGAGAAUGCUUCCCAUAUGUGGUGCACAAGAACAUCUACACUUUCAUGUUUUAUCGUAACCUAGCUCCACAUGUCGUUCCUUGCAGCUAUCUUCCACACGACUGUUCUGUUCCAAUUCUUCAAUGGCACAUCCACCAUUAAUGCUCAAGAAACUGAAGGAUUUACAACAGCGGAUGGCAUUGAGAGGUGAGUAGUCAUCUCUCAUCUGCACUAUAAAAACCUGCCUCAACUCUGCCUUCUCCACAGUUGUGCGCUCCUUCCUGAAUCACCAUCAUUAGUGCUGUCAGCCUCAUACUAUGCUCCCACAUGCUCUAAAAAGACCUUGCAGUAACCGCAAUAUAGACUUCUGGCCUUUUAGCAUUGUCGUUGCUGCAACAUCUGCUACAUGGUGUUGCCAUCAAAAGUUAUAGCGGUGAAUCCAAUGCUUGAGUCUCACACCGGCAGACCAUGUUGAAGGGCACCCAUCAGACUAACACUCACCUCUAUUUGGGUGC